UCUAGGCAACUAGGCACAUAACUAGAGACCGGGGCAGCAGUGUGUAAGUGCAGGUUUCACAGACACAGCAGUGCCGGCAGGACAGAGGGACACGACUGGCUGGGCAGACGGAGUCAGAGCCAGAGUUGAGAGAGGCGGGCAGAACUCUAGCUUGUGCACAUGGGGCAGCCUCAUCUUCUGGUGCCUGCUGAGCGAGGAACCCCAACUUGUCGAAGAGGACAUGAAAUUGAAUAAAAAAUCCUUGGGUCCUGAUUCUGUCAUCUCAGAUUUCCUUAAGCUUCACCAGGGGAAGUUUGAGUCACAAGACUGAGGUCCCAGUUAGGCUGUGGAAGACUCAAUUCCAGGAACAGAGAAAAAACCAUCUGUGUGGCUGACAGCAUUCUUUCAAAAGACUGACCCAUGAACAGCCAAUCGUUGAGGCACAGGAAUACUAAAAUCGUCUCUCAAUGAAGGGUAUAAAUUCCCAGAGAUUGUAAAGUGGCUUUGGAGUCUUUCAAAGAGCACAGGAACUCAUCCAUGUUCUCAUCAGAAAACAACUUCAAACCAUCAAAAAGGGAGGUCCUGUGCAGUUCUCUGGACCUCUCCAGGAAAGCGGGACAGUUGGAUCCAGAAUGCCGUGCACAUAACUACUGCUGUAGAAUGAUGUCUGCUACAUCUAAGGACACCUGAAGGGAUGUCCUGACCAGUAACUGCCCCUUAGCAAUGAUGGCCUGAAAAUGCUUACUCUUUUCCAGUGGAAGGCCAUAAGAUCCACUGGAUCUUGAAGAACCUGAUCUCAAUCUAAUGAUACAUCUGGAAGAACUGGAAGUUGAACUGGAGGUUUCACUAGCAGAGUCAGAGAUCUAACCAACCAAACUAAUGAGGACAUAUGAAAACCAGUAACAUGGAAUCCGGAAUCCUGUCUGAUUUUCCUAAGAACUCUUGUCAGCGGAGGUAAGAAGGGGAAGUAGUACAAGAGCAUGUUAACUUAGAGAGGCAGAAGCACGUGGGCUGGUGUUGCACUCUACCCCAUACUUUGGGCUAUGCCUAGGGUGACCAGAUGUCCCGAUUUUAUAGGGACAGUCCUGAUUUUUGGGUCUUUUUCUUAUUACCUAUUACCCCUCACCCCCUGUCCCGAUUUUUCACACUUGCUGUCUGGUCACCCUAGCUGUGGCUAACAGGCACAGUAUAGCCCUAAACUAUGGAUACUAAAAUAAGAAAAUAUCAACAAAACUAGAAAUCAUGUACAUGAUUAAAUUGUCUAAAUAGCAGAUAGUGGGAUCACAAAGGGAAUCCUAAAAUAGCAGCCCUGUGCUCUGUGGAUUGUAGGCACUACUUAUUCUUGCCAUGAAAGAAGGAGCCAAAAAGAGCAACAGAGAAGGCAGUGAGGAGAUCAGGCUUCUCACCACAUAAUCCCAGCUUCUGUCUCCUUUUUUGGCAUCUUGAUCCCUGGAGGCAGAAGAAUGGAGCAAUACCUAUGCUCCUCAGAUCACUUCAAGUGUAUACCAAAUAUAUACAAUGUUUUCUUCUAAACAAAACAAACCAAGCUGAGGAUACAACUUUAACCAAAAUCCUUCUUCAGCAUUUUGAAUUCCUUUUUCAAAGGCAAUGAGUUGGAAUAAACUUUACCCCACCAAUAUGCAUGUAUAGCUCAUUAAUAUUCUUUAUGCAAAUAAAUUAUCUAGACUUAUGUAGGAAUAAGAUUAAUUGGGUCUGACAGCAUUUCAUGCAUAAAACUGAAAACAUUACCAAAACUGUAUAGAACACAACAUAGUCAUUUCAGUUCAAUUAAGCUACACAGGAGAUGUAAUCAGAUUCUUUUGUAGCUGUAGCAACAAAAUCCCACUAGAAUUUAGUGUGCAUGCAACGAUAUAAUUAUUUAUACAGUGAUGAUAGCUUCUAAUAACUCUUGUCCUAUGGUAAGAUAUAUUAGCUUGUAAAGCUAUUUCCUUACAAAGUAUUUUUGAUCUUCCAUAAAUAACUCCAGAAAAUACAGACUUUAAAAUUGAUUUUAAAGGGUUUCCAUGAAGUAACACAGUAUAUGCUCAAAAAUCGCUUGUGUGUAAUCUGUCUAAUAAUGUAAAAUUUAUUGAAGCCUGGAGUUCUGUUAAUAUUUUAUAGAUAAAACAUUUUGGGGGUCAAAUUUGAAAGCAGGAUUGAUUUAUUCAGGUGUGUAAUUAUUUGAUAAAAUACUCUUUUUGGGGGGUUAAAAAUGGAUAAUGAUGCCCAGCGUUAUGAGUCAGGAUGCUAGAUUCUAUUUCUAGUGUGCCACCAACAUGCUUUGUCUCCUUACAUAAGUCACUUACACCCUUUGAACCCAGUUUAGCAAAGUAUUUAAGCACAUGCUUAAGUCCAUCCCUAUUCAAAAAGCACAUAAGCCCCAUGCUUAACUUUAAGCACAUGCUAAAUCCCAUUGAUGUGUACAGGACUUAAACAAUUACCUAAAAAUAAGCCUAUGCUUAAGUACUUUGCUGAACAGGGAUGAACUUAUGAACUAGGGCCUUUGUGCUUCAAGGAUGCUCUUACCCAGCUUUGUAAGAAAUGUAUAAAUAUCAAUUAUUAUUACUUUUAUUGAUGUUGAAUGCAGAGGUGAAAGGGGGCUUCAAAACAGUGCAUUGCUAUAUGUGGUGGAGCCAAGCACAACCAUGCUCUCCUUCCUUGAUGGGUCUUUGUGCCUGGACCUGCCCCACUGAGUUCUGUACUCACUGCCCACAAAAGGUGGAGAGAGUGAGCAAAUCGAUAUUGGGAUUCCAUCCCAAGACUAAGGAGACACAAGACAAUGCUGAGAACACAGCAGGCUUCCUCCCGAGACAACACCUACGAGACAAGAUAAUGAAAUGCUCUGAGGUUUUUUAUGCUUCUCAGUUUCUUGUCGAAAUUGAAACAUUUGCCAUUUUAAAAAAAAGUUUGGGGUUUUGCCCGUUCCUCAUUUUUCCUUUAUCCCUGUCUGCCACAGAAUGCACCAGAAUGAACUCUGUCUAGGAUUUUGUCCCUUUUGCUAUUCUGUAACUGCACCCAUCGACUUUAACCAACAAUAUCUGUGAUGUUUAGAUCAACCAAAGAUCUUGUUAAAGUUGAUGGGUGCACUAAGUACCCUUCAUUUCGGCUUAAAUUGCUCCUUCCAUUUAAUACCCUUUUGUGUAGGGAUAGCUGAAACAACAGAUGCCAUUGCCCAAAGGCCAUCAUGGCAAGGCUUGAGCAGAAGCUAAGCGAUAGGGACAGAGGAACACAGGGGCUGGGAAUUGAUUGGUGACAGCUGUAUGUGUCUGCCUGUCAGAAAGGCAAAAAGCAAUGAAAAAGCCAAGAGAAAGCCAGCAGACAAAGCAGUAGUCCCCCAUUUUGUAAUGUAACGUACACACUUGGCAUACUCAAUAUGAGCGAUCACAAGCAUGACCCUGCCAGGGAGCAGAGACAGAGUUCUUUGUGGCACAAGACUUGCUGAAAAAGCAAGCUUGCCAAGGGAUGUGGUAGAUUCUCCUUCACUUAAGUCUUUAAAUCAAGACUAGAUAUCUUCCUAACAGAUAUAUUAUAGCUAAAACAUAAGUUUUAGGCUUGAUGCAGGAAUUUUAUUGAGUGAGGCCUGAUUUCUGAAGGAGAUUAGACUAGAUCAGAACAGUCCCUUCUAGCCUUAAAAUCCAUAUAUUUAUGAAAAUGAGCAUUAGAGCACACUGCAAAGCCCGUUUAUUUUCAGAGCCUUUGGGACAAGUUGUCUGGUUAUACUAAUGUAAGGGUUAAGGUUUUGGUAAUGGAUUUAUGAGUACAGUUUAAUUGUAUUUUUAGUAUAUAUCAAAGACAACUGAAACCAUGGAUAAUAAUAAACCUUUUUUUAAUGUUACUAAAUACAUAAAUAAAUAAUAUUGACACAUAUUAGUUGUGUAUAGUAUAUCCUGUAAAAGUGUUUCAGAUUCUAUUUUUAACUAUCUCAAUCAAAUGCUUCAUAUAAAGAAUGAAACUGGACUUCAUCAACAAAUAUAUUUGUAGUCACUAUUGUAAUUCCUUCCGGUGCCUAAGAAAAGUUAUGCUUAUGUAUUUAUAUUAGCUUCAUUUUUGUUUUUCUUUAAAAGUAAAAAUAGUAUAAAUCACAUGCCCAUAUAAUUUCUAUGUUACCUAACACAGUCACCAAACUGUAACAUCCUAAAUGCAUUCUGCUGAGUCAAGAUGAUUGCCAUUGCAUUUAUCAUCUUUCGGCACAAUUCCCAGAAAUGGUUCAGCUCUAGUUGUACGACGUGAAUUUACAAUAUUGUGUGCUCUAAACUCCAUAGUUUUUCUACCUGAGAAAGCUAGCAAAUUGUGGUUACUACUUUUAAAUCUGUUAAGAUUAAUAGUUAUUUGGCACUUAAUGCAAAUAUACUGAUCAGAAUGCACUUUAUUUAGAGUUGUUUUGAAUUUUAUAUAAGCCUCAAUAAGAACUAAUUUAUAACUCAUCUUUAAUCUAUGUACCAUUAAAAUAAAGCAUUGAUUAUUUGGGUGGGGGGAUAAACAUGCAAAAUUAUAUGUGGCACUUAUUAAUUCUGUAUUCUAAUGAAUUAUGGUCUUCCAUUUUUAGUAAAGUAUUUCUUAUUUUUAAAAAUUACAAAAAUAACUAAUACAAAUCCAGUUCAAAUCAGUAAGUUUCUACAGCUGAUUAAAAAACACAAGAGCAAAUCUAGAAUGUCUCUAGAAACAUAUAGUACUUUGGAAAUGGACAUUACCAUGAGCCAAAUCAUGCCUCUAGGAAGAAAACUACAUGUUAGUGCCAGGAGCUUUCAGAAGGUAUCCCUCCCUCAUGGAGUUUUCCUCCACAUUUGUCUUUUGGGGGCAAGGACCCUGAACCAGCAGAUCUCCAGAGAUCUCAGGAAUCUGCUACAGGACAAAGCCAGCCUAUACAGACCCUGUGUCCAUAUGUUGUUGCAUAGGUCCUUUGAAGCUUUCCCCCAAGCUCCCUGUUGGUAUGGUUGACAAGGGCUGCCUCCUGAUGGCUGCUGCCCCUGUAAUUCCUUUAAAUGGAGUUUCCACAUUGCAAAAAAGAGUCCUUUCAGGAAUUAAUAUAGCCACAGUCUGUAUUAACGUCUAAGCAGAUUAUUUGUGUAGUUGAAAGAGGGACAACAUGAUUUUCACCCCUGGCCCUCCUGUCCCCUCAGGGUGUGUCUAUACUGCAACUAGGCACCCAUGGCUGGCCCAUGCCAGCCGACUCAGGCUUGUGAGGCUAUUUCAUUGCAGUAUAGACUUCUGAGCUCAGGCUGGAGCCAAGCUCUGGGACCCUCCCACCUCACAGAUCCCAGGACCAGGAACUUUUGUAGGGUCUAGGUGAAGGGAAGGUACAAUGCCACAAAGUCAGCUAACCCUAAUCUUCUAUAUGGACAGGAAGAUAUUGGCUCGCAGAGGGUCCCCUCCCCAUAUAGAUCAAUGAAGCAUAAUAUUGCCUAUGUUUUCUACUUUUUCCAAAACAUGUCGCUUACUGUUCUUAAUGCAAUAAAAUCCUUUUCUACUUUUAAAAGUGACUGAAAACUGGAAUUGUGAGGCUCUAUGCUUAAUGUCACCCUGAUUUCCAUAUCAAAUGUGCUCAUUUUACUGGUAAAAAGAUUUUUUCUGUCACUGUCAGCCCUGGGAUCUGAGAGUCAUGCUUGGUUCUUUCCUUCUCAUGCAUCAUCACUUGUAAUAAAAACUCUGCAAGGCAAAAAUAAGCUGUUAAUGACACCUGCCUUCAAAGGGCUUGAACAGGUAUAACUGUGAGGAAUUUAGUAAACAAUUCCGUUGAUGAUGCACUAAAGCAGUGCUUUUCAAACUUUUUUCAUUUGCGGAUCCCUACAAAAUUUCGAAUGGAGGUGUGGACCUCUUUGGAAAUCUUAGACAUAGUCUGCAGACCCCCAGGUUGAACACUACUGCACUAAAGAGACAGAAACCAGCUAACUCUUGCUUAGUUCUAUUGACUCCGACUCUGCAAGGCUAACAGGAGUAGAAUUCCGUGAAAAAUUAUUUUAGUCACUGAAAUCAGAAGAUCUGACUCUGGUAUUUCCUGGGAGAAGAUCUGUUCAGGUGAAGGUGUCAUGAUAUUUACAUAGCCACUUUUCAGCGUAUUACCACACGUUAACCUUUUUUCUCUUCUGAAUUCUUAUUCAAUUAAAAAGCUGCAUUUUAAAAGAUUAUUUAACGAAACACUGAAGAAUAGUGAGAAAUUUCUGUCCUUGACUGAAAGACAAAACUAGACUUUAAACUGAGACUUUUAGCAUUUUGAUUUCAUAAAUAUCACACACUAUCAAUUAUGUUUACGUAAAGAAUUCACAGGUGUAUGUAAUUAGCAUUUGAAUUAACAAAUUAGCCUGUAUCAUACAAUUAAUUUUUUUGUAUUAUGUACAGGCAGAGCCCUUUUUCCUUGGAAACAAGCACCUUAACAUGUGCUACAUUGCUUUCAUAUAAUUAUAUAAACAAAUGUUUUUGAUAUAAUUCAGUAAUAAUCCUACUUCAAGAAAGAAAUAACAUUACAAAAAUUCAUAUCAAGCUCAUCUUUUUUUCUAAUAUGUCAUUUUCAUUUGACUGUUUCCAAAAAGUCUACAUACAGUAUAUUUGGCUCAUCAACAAAUUUUUAUUAUUAAUACACUGUACUUCUGCAAGGCAUUAAAUAAAUUCUGAAUUCACUCCCUCAUGUUAUUUUGGCCUUGAAAGGGGUGGUGAUAUAAAACUACAUCUUUCAGAGAAGUAAUUUAUUUUAAAAACCCAAACAUCUAAAACCAGAAACAAAAUCACAACAGUAAAGGAAAAAAUCCUACAAUCCUUACUCAAGAAUCCUCUCUACAUAAGAAAAAUCCAUAUAAGACCAAGAAACUCAAGGAGUCUGAUUUUCCACUGUCCUUCCUCAGAAUACAGAUUUCAGAGUAACAGCCGUGUUAGUCUGUAUUCGCAAAAAGAAAAGGAGUACUUGUGGCACCUUAGAGAC